GACGAACGCUGGCGGCGUGCCUAAUACAUGCAAGUAGAACGCUGAAGGAGGAGCUUGCUUCUCCGGAUGAGUUGCGAACGGGUGAGUAACGCGUAGGUAACCUGCCUGGUAGCGGGGGAUAACUAUUGGAAACGAUAGCUAAUACCGCAUAACAGUAGAUGUUGCAUGACAUUUGCUUAAAAGGUGCAAUUGCAUCACUACCAGAUGGACCUGCGUUGUAUUAGCUAGUUGGUGAGGUAACGGCUCACCAAGGCGACGAUACAUAGCCGACCUGAGAGGGGGGUCGGCCACACUGGGACUGGGACACGGCCCAGACUCCUACGGGGGGCAGCAGUAGGGAAUCUUCGGCCAUGGACGGAAGUCUGACCGAGCAACGCCGCGUGAGUGAAGAAGGGUUUCGGAUCGUAAAGCUCUGUUGUAAGAGAAGAACGAGUGUGAGAGUGGAAAGUUCACACUGUGACGUUAUCUUACCAGAAAGGGACGGCUAACUACGUG
rnacentral:rRNA from 1 species